ACGCGUUUCAUGCCUCUGUGCUGUGUGGGUUUAACAAAUCACAAUGUGUUUAGUAGUUGAGCUGGGAUACCUUGUUGCAUGAGCUGCAUACGAUGUUGCAGGAUGCCAUAUUGAGCGAUUAGAGAGGUUGCAAUUCUGGGGAAGGGGAAGCAACUCAGAGGAACAGCGGCUUUACACAUAGCCUCAGCAAUAGCGAACCAGGAUGGCUGCUGUCGUCGGGAGGAAACCCAUGAAGGGCUUUUGUGGUACGCUGGUAGUGUCCCCAUUUCUGAGCCAAGAGAUCCACGUUCAAGUUCCACCUGCUCCAGAG